AGUCAAUAGAUACCCUGGUAGUCCCAGCUGUAAACGAUGCGCGUUAGGUGUAUCGGUGACCACGAGUCAUCGAGGUGCCGAAGGGAAACCGUGAAACGUGCCGCCUGGGAAGUACGGUCGCAAGGCUGAAACUUAGAGGAAUUGGCGGGGGAGCACCACAACGGGUGGAGCCUGCGGUUUAAUUGGACUCAACGCCGGGCAGCUCACCGGAUAAGACAGCUGGAUGAUAGCCGGGCUGAAGACUCUGCUUGACUAGCUGAGAGGAGGUGCAUGGCCGUCGUCAGUUCGUACUGUGAAGCAUCCUGUUAAGUCAGGCAACGAGCGAGACCCACGCCAACAGUUGCCAGCAUGU
rnacentral:rRNA from 1 species